GAUUCGAUGGCGUAGUUGGUUAUCGCAUUGUCCUUCGCUAGUGUUACACAGAAGGUCCCUAGCUCGAGCCUGGGUCGAAUCA